rnacentral:misc_RNA from 1 species
UUCCAUGCUGAUGGUGUUGAUGAUUUCUUCAUUUCCCAGGCUGUACUAGAUGGGACGAAAGCAAAUGACAUAAUGAAGCGAGCUCCAUUUUUGGUACCUUUUACAAGCAGGGUUAAAAUAUUCAAUUCGCAAUUAUUGGCAGCCAGGCAAAGAAAUGGGGCCCAUGGUGUUUUUACAAGGAACAGAUUCAGAAUUCGACGGGAUCAUAUUCUGGAAGAUGCUUAUAAUCAGAUGAGUGCUUUGUCUGAAGAAGAUCUUCGAGGAUUGAUUCGUGUGGCAUUUGUCAAUGAGUUUGGAGUUGAGGAGGCUGGCAUUGAUGGCGGUGGAAUUUUUAAAGAUUUCAUGGAGAACAUUACUCGAGCAGCAUUCGAUGUGCAGUAUGGAUUAUUUAAGGAAACAGCAGAUCACCUACUGUAUCCUAAUCCGGGUUCAGGAAUGAUACAUGAACAGCAUCUUCAGUUUUUCCAUUU